GACAUAGUUUCAGCCUGUGCUCAUAUCCUGACCAGCCAAAGGCAGUAUAACCACUUCAUCUCCACAGUCAAGCCAUCCUAAUGUGACUAAACAUCUUAUUUAUAGCUUGGCAUGUCCUGCAAACACAAAAUGAUGCAGUGUGGGAAACAAUACAUGUCCUGUGUAAAUACACUUUCUCCUCACAAUAACUUUCUCUCCUAUGGAUAUAAGAGCAUAAUAUUAAUCCUGGCACAGAAACCCCUCAGAGCAGAUCUUGCUCCACCUUACAGAAGCGCAAUUAUUCUGACACAUGAGAGUGAAAAAAAAGUGAGAUCAUUUUCUUGGAUGUUGUCUGGAUUUUAUAUUUGGACAUGAGAGAUACAGCUGCCCUGGACUAACAAAAUGUGUAGCUUUAUAGAUUUCCUAAUCUUUUAAAAGGCAAUCAACAUUCCAUUUUUAGGACAGAGGAAAACAGUAAUAUGUUGUUGAACAACUGCACAGUUGCCAGAAUGAUGUAUUCUAUUAGUUAUUGCUAAGAAUAAACAGUUGCUUAAUGCAGAGCUU